UUCACGGUUCCGGUAAACUGAUGACCGCUACACUGCGGAGACCACCCUGAGGCACCUACGCGUCUUCCCUAAGGUUCGAGUUGCUUAUGGGUGACUAAAACAGAAAAAAGUGAAACCAUGGGUAAGGGGAUUUCCAUAAAUAAGGCAAAGGUCAUCACUUAGUCAUCCAUGAGCCCUCAGUGAUUCAUCAGGACAGUAUUCAAGAUCAGAUACUUGAUACCCCAAGCACUCUCAGAUCUAUCAAGAGUGUUGGUAUCUGCCUUCCCUGCUUUCACUCAGUGUGAAAACCAUUCUGAUUUUAAUAAUUGCAAAAUUGGAAGAGAAGAUGGUGGAUAGAUAACAGCAGCUACAGAGGCUCUCUGCAGCUUAGAUUUCAGGAAUGGUGCAUGUGUGGAGUCCUAAGCAAAGGGAGAUAUACCCUGCCAACUCAGGAAUGAACUAACCUGAGAGAAACCAAUUGGAAAUGCAAUCCCAGUGCUACAAUUGGAACAGCUGAAGUCUUGGUGCCGCCACUGGACCUCACGGCUUGAAUACUCUGCUGCUGCCAUACCUGAAUUGGUGCAGCCGGGAUAGCCCACUAGUUUUAACUCACCAGAGAUGCAAACACUCUAAGAGUGGGAAUCAGUGAGCCAAACUGAGAGCAGAGCUGGUAGGGAACCCUGCAUCAACCUGCAGUGAGUGAGAGGGAUGGGGACCCUUCCAUAGACAAAGAUGCUCCAACAGAGGACAUUCUGGACUGGGCAGACUGGCUGGAAUGGGGUGCUGCAGUUACUUCAGUCACAUAUUCCCUUCUCAAGUGGGAUUGGUGGGGACCAAUGACCUGGGUGACACCAUGGACUGAGGAACAAUAGGCUAGCCUAAACCAGGUCCCUGUGCCUGGCAGUGCACCCUAGUAGUGAAGGUUCAGUAGGUUGACCUGGAGGGGUGGGCCCAACAUAGGCUGCCCUGGUCUGUACCUCCUAGUACACUGCAGUGGGCAGGACCACCUAGUUAGCAUGCUUCAGACAAACUGAAACCAACAAAGAAAAAAAUUGGGCCUCCUAUGUGCACCUGUAUGGAAGGAACAAAAAAUAUUAAAAGAGGAGGCAACAAGAAAGGGUCCUCAGUCCCCCAUCCUGAGAAUACUGAUCCAAGAAAAGUAAAUGCAAAGGAGAAUGAGGACAGAAAACAUGUAAUAUCAUGCAUGGCACCAAUAGACAUAAAGCGAUAUCUUCAGGACCUCAUAGAUGAGUUCAAAAGUGAAGUAUUUAACCAAGUUAAGCAAGAUAUAAGUAGAAUAGUUAAAGAAAUGCUAAGCACCUCCCAAGAAAAAACAGAUGGUAGAAUGGAAGAACAAAAAAAGGGGGAGAAUUGUUUGAUGGAGAAAAUAGAAAAAACAUAGAAUACGUGAAGCAGGUUCCAAGGGACUACCAGGAAACUAAAAACUCUAUUGAAAGCUGGCAUAACAGCUUGAAGGAAACUAAGGAUAGAUUACUGAACUGGAAGACAGGAACAUGAAAGGGAACAUGAAAUAAAGAAUUUCUCUUUCCCAUUUGACAUCAUCCUAGUAGAGGAACAACCCAACUGAAGGAUUUCUUUGAGUCUAAAUCAUACACAUGUGUUAGUUUUUGAAACAAACAGUUUCAUUGCAUAGCUUUUAUGUCCUCAUCUUUAUUGGAACUACAUUUUUGGUAGGUUUCCACAAAGGUCCUCAGCUCGAGCACCACUCUCAAGGGGCGGCAAGGAAAAUCUGUAGUCCCAGGAGAAUGUCUGUCCUUCCAGGCAUGCUUGUGUAAAACCUAUAAACAGUUUAUGAGAACUGAUCUUAUGACACAUGAUGAACAAAUACUAUGAAGGAAAGAAAGGGACACUGCAGUACCCAGUGCUGAUUCCAGAGUUUUAUGAUAUGAAAUGCAGCAAUAUUAUUAGUCUUUGUUCAGAAGGAACUUAAUCUAAUAAGUUUUGUUAGGUCUCAACAUAAAUGAAGAUAUGGAUAAAUGCAUGCAUGUCUAAGUGUAUAGGAUUGAUAGCCAUAUUACUUAGUUUUUGUUGGAUAGUUGAACAGAAUGGUUUGCAGUCUCCCUGGUUGAAUUCCCAUUUAUAUGUUCCACUUUUGUAUCUUGAACUACUGUUUGUGGGAGGACAAUAUGUAUACAUCAUCUAGUGAUUUUUUACUGUUUAUUUAUUUUCUUUGAAAGUAUGUAUUAUU